UACGGGGGGGGCAAGCGUUGUUCGGAAUUACUGGGCGUAAAGGGCUCGUAGGUGGCCAACUAAGUCGGACGUGAAAUCCCUCGGCUUAACCGGGGAACUGCGUCUGAUACUGGAUGGCUUGAGUUCGGGAGAGGGAUGCGGAAUUCCAGGUGUAGCGGUGAAAUGCGUAGAUAUCAUGAGGAAGACCAGUGGCGAAGGCGGGUCUCUGGACAGUUCCUGACACUGAGACACGAAGGCCAGGGGAGCAAACGGG
rnacentral:rRNA from 1 species